GUAGGGAAUCUUCGGCAAUGGGGGCAACCCUGACCGAGCAACGCCGCGUGAGUGAAGAAGGUUUUCGGAUCGUAAAACUCUGUUGUUAGAGAAGAACGUUAAGUAGAGUGGAAAGUUACUUAAGUGACGGUAUCUAACCAGAAAGGGACGGCUAACUACGUGCCAGCAGCCGCGGUAAUACGUAGGUCCCAAGCGUUGUCCGGAUUUAUUGGGCGUAAAGCGAGCGCAGGUGGUUUCUUAAGUCUGAUGUAAAAGGCAGUGGCUCAACCAUUGUGUGCAUUGGAAACUGGGAGACUUGAGUGCAGGAGAGGAGAGUGGAAUUCCAUGUGUAGCGGUGAAAUGCGUAGAUAUAUGGAGGAACACCGGAGGCGAAAGCGGCUCUCUGGCCUGUAACUGACACUGAGGCUCGAAAGCGUGGGGAGCAAACAGGAUUAGAAACCCUAGUAGUCC
rnacentral:rRNA from 1 species